rnacentral:lncRNA from 1 species
UUUUUUCAAAUAUUGUUCAUGAGUUAUGUUAAUUGUUACUGGCGUUGUAUUUUUUUUUUUCAGUUUUUUAGUUUGUUGUGGUAUGUGGUUCAUCGUGGAUGUUGUUUUUCUGAACUCGUUGUUAUUGUUUAAAGCAUUUACUGUAUGUUAUAAAUCAUAUGUUUUUAGGAAAAGAAAUGAUAAGUUGAGAUGAAAUAUUGUUCAUUGAUUUUUUUUGGAAUUAUUCAUGAAUCACACCAGAUUAUUCAUUAAUCAUCGACCAACUAAUUUAGAAAAAUCACUCGAAAUUUAAGAUAAACAACCUAAAAA